GAUUAAGUCAUCUCUAUAGUUUGCCUCCUU
rnacentral:piRNA from 1 species